ensembl:piRNA 21ur-5331 ncRNA
UGUUAUGUCGAUAGGCUUUUU